GCUCCCAUCGUCCAAUGGUCAGGACAUCAGGCUUUCACCCAGAAAACGCCGGUUCAACUCCGGCUGGGAGUACCA
rnacentral:tRNA from 1 species